rnacentral:rRNA from 1 species
AUUGAACGCUGGCGGCAUGCUUUACACAUGCAAGUCGAACGGCAGCGCGGGCUUCGGCCUGGCGGCGAGUGGCGAACGGGUGAGUAAUACAUCGGAACGUGCCCAGUAGUGGGGGAUAGCUCGGCGAAAGCCGGAUUAAUACCGCAUACGACCUGAGGGUGAAAGCGGGGGAUCUUCGGACCUCGCGCUAUUGGAGCGGCCGAUGGCAGAUUAGCUAGUUGGUGGGGUAAAGGCCUACCAAGGCGACGAUCUGUAGCUGGUCUGAGAGGACGACCAGCCACACUGGGACUGAGACACGGCCCAGACUCCUACGGGAGGCAGCAGUGGGGAAUUUUGGACAAUGAGCGAAAGCCUGAUCCAGCAAUGCCGCGUGUGUGAUGAAGGCCUUCGGGUUGUAAAGCACUUUUGGCGGGAACGAAAAGGACUGUGCCAAUACCACGGUUCGAUGACGGUACCCGCAGAAUAAGCACCGGCUAACUACGUG